rnacentral:rRNA from 1 species
CCACACCUAAAAAACUUUCCACGUGAACCGUUUCAACCCAAUAGUUGGGGGUCUUAUUUGGCGGCGGCUGCUGGCUUAAUUGUUGGCGGCUGCUGCUGAGUGAGCCCUAUCAAAAAAAAGGCGAACGUUUGGGCUUCGGCCUGAUUUAGUAGUCUUUUUUUCUUUUAAACCCAUUCCUUAAUACUGAAUAUACUGUGGGGACGAAAGUCUCUGCUUUUAACUAGAUAGCAACUUUCAGCAGUGGAUGUCUAGGCUCGCACAUCGAUGAAGAACGCUGCGAACUGCGAUACGUAAUGCGAAUUGCAGGAUUCAGUGAGUCAUCGAAAUUUUGAACGCAUAUUGCACUUCCGGGUUAGUCCUGGAAGUAUGCCUGUAUCAGUGUCCGUACAUUAAACUUGACUUUCUUCCUUCCGUGUAGUCGGUGGAGGAGAUGUCAGAUGUGAAGUGUCUUGCGAUUGGUCUUCGGACCGGCUGCGAGUCCUUUUAAAUGUACUAAACUGAACUUCUCUUUGCUCGAAAAGUGGUGGCGUUGCUGGUUGUGAAGGCUGCUAUUGUGGCAAAUUGGCGACUGGUUUGUCUGCUGCGGCAUUAAUGGAAGAGUGUUCGAUUCGUGGUAUGGUUGGCUUCGGCUGAACAAUGCACUUAUUGGACGUUUUUCCUGCUGUGGCGUGAUGGACUGGUGAACCAUAGCUCGGUGGCUUGGCUUUUGAAUUGGCUUUGCUGUUGCGAAGUAGGGUGGCAGCUUCGGUUGUCGAGGGUCGAUCCAUUUGGGAACUUAAUGUGUACUUCGGUAUGCAUCUCAA